rnacentral:rRNA from 1 species
GGGUUGUGAGGUUAAGCGACUAAGCGUACACGGUGGAUGCCCUGGCAGUCAGAGGCGAUGAAGGACGUGCUAAUCUGCGAUAAGCGUCGGUGAGGUGAUAUGAACCGUUAUAACCGGCGAUUUCCGAAUGGGGAAACCCAGUGUGAUUCGUCACACUAUCAUUAACUGAAUCCAUAGGUUAAUGAGGCGAACCGGGGGAACUGAAACAUCUAAGUACCCCGAGGAAAAGAAAUCAACCGAGAUUCCCCCAGUAGCGGCGAGCGAACGGGGAGGAGCCCAGAGCCUGAAUCAGUGUGUGUGUUAGUGGAAGCGUCUGGAAAGGCGCGCGAUACAGGGUGACAGCCCCGUACACAAAAAUGCACAUAUUGUGAGCUCGAUGAGUAGGGCGGGACACGUGGUAUCCUGUCUGAAUAUGGGGGGACCAUCCUCCAAGGCUAAAUACUCCUGACUGACCGAUAGUGAACCAGUACCGUGAGGGAAAGGCGAAAAGAACCCCGGCGAGGGGAGUGAAAAAGAACCUGAAACCGUGUACGUACAAGCAGUGGGAGCCUCUUAAUGGGGUGACUGCGUACCUUUUGUAUAAUGGGUCAGCGACUUAUAUUCUGUAGCAAGGUUAACCGAAUAGGGGAGCCGAAGGGAAACCGAGUCUUAACUGGGCGUUAAGUUGCAGGGUAUAGACCCGAAACCCGGUGAUCUAGCCAUGGGCAGGUUGAAGGUUGGGUAACACUAACUGGAGGACCGAACCGACUAAUGUUGAAAAAUUAGCGGAUGACUUGUGGCUGGGGGUGAAAGGCCAAUCAAACCGGGAGAUAGCUGGUUCUCCCCGAAAGCUAUUUAGGUAGCGCCUCGUGAAUUCAUCUCCGGGGGUAGAGCACUGUUUCGGCAAGGGGGUCAUCCCGACUUACCAACCCGAUGCAAACUGCGAAUACCGGAGAAUGUUAUCACGGGAGACACACGGCGGGUGCUAACGUCCGUCGUGAAGAGGGAAACAACCCAGACCGCCAGCUAAGGUCCCAAAGUCAUGGUUAAGUGGGAAACGAUGUGGGAAGGCCCAGACAGCCAGGAUGUUGGCUUAGAAGCAGCCAUCAUUUAAAGAAAGCGUAAUAGCUCACUGGUCGAGUCGGCCUGCGCGGAAGAUGUAACGGGGCUAAACCAUGCACCGAAGCUGCGGCAGCGACACUAUGUGUUGUUGGGUAGGGGAGCGUUCUGUAAGCCUGUGAAGGUGGCCUGUGAGGGUUGCUGGAGGUAUCAGAAGUGCGAAUGCUGACAUAAGUAACGAUAAAGCGGGUGAAAAGCCCGCUCGCCGGAAGACCAAGGGUUCCUGUCCAACGUUAAUCGGGGCAGGGUGAGUCGACCCCUAAGGCGAGGCCGAAAGGCGUAGUCGAUGGGAAACAGGUUAAUAUUCCUGUACUUGGUGUUACUGCGAAGGGGGGACGGAGAAGGCUAUGUUGGCCGGGCGACGGUUGUCCCGGUUUAAGCGUGUAGGCUGGUUUUCCAGGCAAAUCCGGAAAACCAAGGCUGAGGCGUGAUGACGAGGCACUACGGUGCUGAAGCGACAAAUGCCCUGCUUCCAGGAAAAGCCUCUAAGCAUCAGGUAACAUCAAAUCGUACCCCAAACCGACACAGGUGGUUAGGUAGAGAAUACCAAGGCGCUUGAGAGAACUCGGGUGAAGGAACUAGGCAAAAUGGUGCCGUAACUUCGGGAGAAGGCACGCUGAUAUGUAGGUGAAGCGACUUGCUCGUGGAGCUGAAAUCAGUCGAAGAUACCAGCUGGCUGCAACUGUUUAUUAAAAACACAGCACUGUGCAAACACGAAAGUGGACGUAUACGGUGUGACGCCUGCCCGGUGCCGGAAGGUUAAUUGAUGGGGUUAGCGGUAACGCGAAGCUCUUGAUCGAAGCCCCGGUAAACGGCGGCCGUAACUAUAACGGUCCUAAGGUAGCGAAAUUCCUUGUCGGGUAAGUUCCGACCUGCACGAAUGGCGUAAUGAUGGCCAGGCUGUCUCCACCCGAGACUCAGUGAAAUUGAACUCGCUGUGAAGAUGCAGUGUACCCGCGGCAAGACGGAAAGACCCCGUGAACCUUUACUAUAGCUUGACACUGAACAUUGAGCCUUGAUGUGUAGGAUAGGUGGGAGGCUUUGAAGUGUGGACGCCAGUCUGCAUGGAGCCGACCUUGAAAUACCACCCUUUAAUGUUUGAUGUUCUAACGUUGGCCCGUAAUCCGGGUUGCGGACAGUGUCUGGUGGGUAGUUUGACUGGGGCGGUCUCCUCCUAAAGAGUAACGGAGGAGCACGAAGGUUGGCUAAUCCUGGUCGGACAUCAGGAGGUUAGUGCAAUGGCAUAAGCCAGCUUGACUGCGAGCGUGACGGCGCGAGCAGGUGCGAAAGCAGGUCAUAGUGAUCCGGUGGUUCUGAAUGGAAGGGCCAUCGCUCAACGGAUAAAAGGUACUCCGGGGAUAACAGGCUGAUACCGCCCAAGAGUUCAUAUCGACGGCGGUGUUUGGCACCUCGAUGUCGGCUCAUCACAUCCUGGGGCUGAAGUAGGUCCCAAGGGUAUGGCUGUUCGCCAUUUAAAGUGGUACGCGAGCUGGGUUUAGAACGUCGUGAGACAGUUCGGUCCCUAUCUGCCGUGGGCGCUGGAGAACUGAGGGGGGCUGCUCCUAGUACGAGAGGACCGGAGUGGACGCAUCACUGGUGUUCGGGUUGUCAUGCCAAUGGCACUGCCCGGUAGCUAAAUGCGGAAGAGAUAAGUGCUGAAAGCAUCUAAGCACGAAACUUGCCCCGAGAUGAGUUCUCCCUGAGACUUAGAGUCUCCUGAAGGAACGUUGAAGACGACGACGUUGAUAGGCCGGGUGUGUAAGCGCAGCGAUGCGUUGAGCUAACCGGUACUAAUGAACCGUGAGGCUUAACCUUACAACGCCGAAG